GACGAACGCUGGCGGCGUGCUUAACACAUGCAAGUCGAACGGAAAGGCCCUGCUUUUGUGGGGUGCUCGAGUGGCGAACGGGUGAGUAACACGUGAGUAACCUGCCCUUGACUUUGGGAUAACUUCAGGCAACUGGGGCUAAUACCGGCUAGGAGCUCCUGCUGCAUGGUGGGGGUUGGAUAGUUUCGGCGGUUGGGGAUGGACUCGCGGCUUAUCGCCUUGUUGGUGGGGUAGUGGCUUACCAAGGCUUUGACAGGUAGCCGACCUGAGAGGGGAGCCUGCCACGUUAGGACUGGAAUGAGACCCGGACUCCUCCCGGAGGGAGGAGUGGGGAAGGUUACACAGUGGGCGGGAGCCUGGUGCGGCAACGCGGCGUGCGGGAUGACGGCCUUCGGGUUGUAGACCAAUUUCGCCUGUAACGAAGCGUGAGUGACGGUAAUGGGUAAAGAAGCACCGGCUAACUACGUG
rnacentral:rRNA from 1 species